CGGUGAUAAACUGGAGGAAGGUGGGGAUGACGUCAAGUCAGCAUGGCCUUUAUAUCCAGGGCUACACACACGCUACAAUGGCCGGUACAAUGGGUCGCCAACCCGCGAGGGGGAGCCAAUCCAAUAAAGCCGGUCUCAGUUCGGAUUGCAGGCUGCAACCCGCCUGCAUGAAGUCGGAGUUGCUAGUAACCGCGCGUCAGCACAGUGCGGUGAAUACGUUCCCGGACCUU
rnacentral:rRNA from 1 species